GAAAUGCGAUAAGUAAUGUGAAUUGCAGAAUUCCGUGAAUCAUCGAAUCUUUGAACGCACAUUGCGCCCUCUGGCAUUCCGGGGGGCAUGCCUGUCCGAGCGUCAUUACGCACCCUCAAGCCCGGCUUGUGUGAUGGGCCCUGGCGUCUCGUUCGCGAGACGGGCCCGAAAGGCAGCGGCGGCGUCGACCCGAUGAGCCAGAGCGUAUGGGGACUUUUGUCACACGUUUGCGGUGCGGACCGGCGCCUGCUUGACUUUUCUGAUUAUCCAGGUUGACCUCGGAUCAGGUAGGGAUACCCGCUGAACUUAAGC
rnacentral:misc_RNA from 1 species